rnacentral:rRNA from 1 species
CAACUUGAGAGUUUGAUCCUGGCUCAGAACGAACGCUGGCGGCAGGCUUAACACAUGCAAGUCGAACGCCCCGCAAGG